rnacentral:rRNA from 1 species
GACGAACGCUGGCGGCGCGCCUAACACAUGCAAGUCGAGCGAGAACCGGGCCUUCGGGCCCGGGGACAGCGGCGAACGGGUGAGUAACACGGGGGUAACCUGCCCUCGGCACUGGGAUAGCCCGGGGAAACCCGGAUUAAUACCGGAUGGUCUCCGGAGCCUUCGGGCGCCGGAGAAACGGUGGCUUCGGCAUCCGGCCGAGGAGGGGCCUGCGGCGGAUUAGCUUGGUGGUGGGGUAACGGCCUACCAAGGCGACGAUCUGUAGCUGGUCUGAGAGGACGAUCAGCCACACUGGGACUGAGACACGGCCCAGACUCCUACGGGAGGCAGCAGUGGGGAAUCUUGCGCAAUGGGCGAAAGCCUGACGCAGCGACGCCGCGUGCGGGAAGAAGGCCUUCGGGUUGUAAAGCACUUUAAGUUGGGAGGAAGGUCUGUAAGCUAAUAUCUUGCAGUCUUGACGUUACCAACAGAAUAAGCACCGGCUAACUCUGUGCCAGCAGCCGCGGUAAUAC